rnacentral:lncRNA from 1 species
GAAUGUUCUAUUUUUUACUUAUUCUGUCAGGUGACUGAAAUUCUUUCUUAUAAUAUUCAGUAUUUUUCAUAUCUGUCAAGACUUGCUGCCUGAAAGACGCAUCCUCUAGCUGAGAGAAAACUUGGUAAUGUAAUGGGAAGAGCAACUAGAGAUGGGCGGAGGAAGUGACCCUGAGAUAGACCAAUGUUGUUCCAGAGGGAGACCAGAGACCCCAGAGAGCACUGACCUUCAAAGAAAGAAAAGGAGACAGCCUGGGGGACAAACAGCAGUUUAUUCUCCUGACACUGUUCGACCAUCACAGAGGAAAGAAUGUAUUACGUAUGUCUUUAUGCCCUGCAUCAAAUCUUUUGGAAAAGCCAUAACACAAUUGCUGGUGAGUCCUGAGAAGACUUCAUGUGGAUAAGCCAAUUUGGUGAUUUCCUCUGAUAAUGUGACCAGGACAGAUAGUGAUGUUCCCUUCUCUUCACGUAGCAGCCCAGUGACUGCAAGUUAGUGUGCUGUCCCCUUCUCAUCCUUGAUCUUGCAUAUAUCUGGCUCAUCUCAGGGGGGUUGUUAGAUACUGCAUUGUGUCUAGACUUGUUCACUUCUGCUUUGAGGAAAAAUGUAUGGUUCUGUCUCUUUGUCUGAAAAGAGAAACAGAGCCAACAGUUUUAUGGAAACCUCAAUCUGCUGUUCCAAUGAAUUUAAUGAUAAAUGCAUGUGACCAAGGCCAGUAUUGACACUGGCUUCUAGUUUGGAGAUCUAAUAAAAAAUUUAAUCCUUCACAGACAAUAUGGAACUGCCAUGCCAAUAAAUCUUGUCUGAAGCCUAAACAAGAAGUCAAUAUUUAUUAAAUACACAUAAGAAUGGAACUUAGUCUUCUGUUUGCUCACUAUAAAAGCUGA